AUUAUUUUUCGUUUUUGAGUUUAUUGAGUCAUUUUCUUAUCUUGA
rnacentral:sRNA from 1 species